rnacentral:misc_RNA from 1 species
AAGUCGUAACAAGGUAACCGUAGGUGAACCUGCGGUUGGAUCAUUAAAAAAAAAAAUAGCCUGUCAUUUAGUACCGCUUUGUCAAGGGCUGGGGAAAAAUGAAUGUUGGCACCACAUAUUGUGAACCGUAAAUGUCUUUGGUGGUUGGGCGGUUUGCUUGUUUCAAGCUUCCGUCUGUCAGCUUGUGUUUAACAACCCAAGCCGUGGACAAGCCACCGUUUGUUUGUUUAAGCCUAAUUGCCUUCUACUUUUUUGUCUAACAUUUUUUUGUAUAAAUUACAAACAACUUUUGGCAACGGAUCUCUUGGUUCUC